rnacentral:rRNA from 1 species
GAUGAACGCUGGCGGCGUGCCUAAUACAUGCAAGUCGAGCGAACAGACGAGGCGCUUGCUCCUCUGACGUUAGCGGCGGACGGGUGUGUAACACGUGUAUAACCUACCUAUAUGUCUGGUAUAACUUCGGGAAACCGGAUCUAAUACCGGAUAAUAUAUUGAACCGCAUGGUUCAAUAGUGAAAGACGGUUUUGCUGUCACUUAUAGAUGGAUCUGCGCCGCAUUAGCUAGUUGGUAAGGUAACGGCUUACGAAGGGAACGAUGCGUUGCCGACGUGAUAGGGUGAUCGGCCACACUGGAGCUGGGACACGGUCCAGACUCCUACGGGAGGCAGCAGUAGGGUAUCUUCCGCAAUGGGCGAGAGCAUGGCGGAGCAACGCCGCGUGAGUGAUGAAGGUCUUCGGAUCGUAAAACUCUGUUAUUAGGGAAGAACAAAUGUGUAAGUAACUAUGCACGUCUUGACGGUACCUAAUCAGAAAGCCACGGCUAACUACGUG